GGAAUUUUCAGUGGCGCAGCUAACGCAAUAAGUUAUCCGCCUGGGGAGUACGGCCGCAAGGCUAAAACUCAAAUGAAUUGACGGGGACCCGCACAAGCGGUGGAGCAUGUGGUUUAAUUCGAUGCAACGCGAAAAACCUUACCUACACUUGACAUACUUUGAAUUUUUUAGAGAUAAAAAAGUGCCUUCGGGAACGAAGAUACAGGUGCUGCAUGGCUGUCGUCAGCUCGUGUCGUGAGAUGUUGGGUUAAGUCCUAUAACGAGCGCAACCCUUACCCUUAUUUGCCAGCGGUUCGGCCGGGAACUAUAAGGGAACUGCCGGUAAUAAGCCGGAGGAAGGUGGGGACGACGUCAAGUCAUCAUGGCCCUUACGUGUAGGGCUACACACGUGCUACAAUGGGAGAUACAGACGGUUGCGAAAGCGCGAGCUGGAGCUAAUCUGAGAAAGUCUCUCGUAGUCCGAAUUGCAGUCUGGAACUCGACUGCAUGAAGCCGGAAUCGCUAGUAAUCGCGGAUCAGCAUGCCGCGGUGAAUACGUUCUCGGGUCUUGUACACACCGCCCGUCACACCAUGGGAGUGAAUUGCACCAGAAGUAGAUAGCUUAACCUUCGGGAUGGCGUUUACCACGGUGUGGUCCAUGACUGGGGUGAAGUCGUAACAAGGUAGCCGUA
rnacentral:rRNA from 1 species